GCCCCGGUCACGUGUUGGGACUGUGCUCGGCUUCAGGAAGUGCGGGCGGCGGGGGCUGCGGAUGGUUGUCAGGCUGAGGCUCUGGAGGAGGAGGGGCGCGCUGCACGGCGACUAGCGGCCCGGCCACGGCCUGUGGUACCACAGCUGGCCGCUCAGGGGGAGCCGCUACACGGGCUGCCGACGGGGACUGACCUCGUCACGGGGAGAGGCCUCCUGCGGCCUUACUGCCGCUCAGCUGUGGUGACUGGAGGAGGCUCGGGACCGUUUCUUCCUUGACGAACAGUUUAACCACAGAGAGUCGCCAAGAUAGCUGGCCCAGGUAGAAAGCGUCGAACCCCUGACCCAGACACCAUUACAGACCCCGGGGGCCCAGUUGUUUCCACCAAGCGGCAGAAGAUGUCCCAUUCUGCCGAGGGCACGGGGCAGAGGAGGGUGACUCGAGGAAGCGAAGAUGCCAUCAAUAAAAAGAAGCAAAAAGAUCGAGUCAACCAGGAAAGCAAAGAAGGCAAGAUGGUGUCCGGCGGUGAGCCAAGGAAAGACAUGAUGAUCGACUGGAAGCAGAACUCAGAAGAAGUGAUUGUAAAACUGAACCCCGGGCCGGGAGCUGUAAAUGUGGACGACCUGAAGAUGGAGUUCACCGAUACGGACUGCGUGAUCAACUUCCCAGAGGGCAAUCAGUGGAACUGCCGUUUCCAUGAAGAAAUCGAAGGCUCUUGCAGUAAAAUUCAAUAUAAAGAAAAAGGCAACUUCCUGCAACUAAUUUUACAGAAGAAAAUUCCAAUGAAUAAAUGGCCGAGCCUCCAGAAAAAGAAGAAAGACGUAGGGAAAGAAGCGGCAAAGCCUGUCACAGUGACAGAGAAUGGAAAGCCAAAAGCCCCUUUGAAAUUGCCUGUAUCGGACAUCCAUCACGCUCAAUCCAAUGGGAACCAAGAAAUGAGAAAGAUUAAACCUGAUCUUAAAAAUGCCAAACGGCGGCAGGAAUCUGACGAACCAAAAGCAAGUCCCAGGAGUCCCCUCAUAAAGAAGUCUGCCUCUUGCUCUGUCCCUCAAGGCGGGACACAGGUGAGGAAAGGCUCGCCCCAUAAGCUCGCCUCUGCACGAGACGCCAGUCCUAGGAGCCCGAAAACGGCCAACUCUGAGGACGGUGCGAAGUGUGUGAGCGCUAAAGGGAAAAUCAAAUUUACUGAUCACAACCGAGUCAAGGAUUGCAUGGGGACACCAAAACCUGCGAGUCCCAGAGUGGAGACGUCGGAUGUCAUGGGAGAAAAGGUUGUUACUGCUGACGCAGAGAAGAAUCCUCUUCCCACUCAGGGGACGUUACACCAGUCCGCCACAUCAGCCGUACAGCCCGUAUGUGAUCAGUCACCCGGCCUACCCGGGGAUUUGACUUUGGAUCUGCUGGUGCCGUCUAACGGGAUGUCCCAACUGUCAUCGGAGCAAGCUGCAGAUACCCGGGAGAAGCUGUCGUCAAAUAAGCAACUGGUGCCAGAUGGAACAAGGGCUGCUGCUGGUUCAUCACACGGUGAAGUCGUCAUGGCCGACAAACAAACUUCUUCUCAAGAUGACAGUCUAGAAGACGCAUCGGAAGAUGUCGAGCCUUAUGUGAAUCUCACCUUUAUGAAGAAUGACUAUUAUGAGAAGGGUAAUGACGUGGUGGUCGUACACGUGUAUGUGAAAGAAAUCUGUAAGCAGACGUCCCGGGUUUUGUUUCGGGAGCAGGAUUUCACGCUGAUCUUUCAGACGAGAGACCUAAACUUUCUUCGGCUCCAUCCUGGUUGUGGCCCCGAUACUGUGUUCAGGUGGCAAGUAAAGCUCAGGAACCUUAUCGAGCCAGAUUUGUGCAAAUACAACUUCACAGGGGUUCACAUUGAUAUCUCUCUCCAGAAGAAGCAGUGUCAGAGGUGGGGUGGUCUAGAGGCGCCCGCCGCACAAGGUGCAGUGGGUGGUGCAAAAGUCGCGAUGCCUGCAAGUCCUGCCCCUCUCGACAAAACUCAGUCCGGAAGUAACCAGCUCUCGCUGUCCAGCAAAGAAGAACCCAGAGCUGUGGAAAAGGAGAAGCCGCGAGCCGAGGAGGUCAGUCUGGAUAAAGUGUCCCCCAGGGCAGCGGCUGAUCACGUCCCUGUAAAACCAGAGCAACUCCUGGCUUCGCCUAAGCCGACUUGCAUGGUGCCCCCGAUGACGCACAGUGCAAUUAGCAGCGACAGUGCCCAGGAGGAAGAGGAGAAGAGAGUGUGUCUGCCCGGCUUCACCGGUCUGGUCAACCUGGGAAACACCUGCUUCAUGAACAGCGUCAUCCAGUCCUUGUCUAACACGCGGGAGCUGAGAGAUUAUUUCCAGGAUCACUCUUUUGAGUCUGAGAUCAAUUGCAACAACCCUUUGGGGACCGGAGGGCGUCUUGCCGUUAGUUUUGCUGUCUUGUUAAGGGCUCUUUGGAAAGGAACUCAUCACGCCUUCCAGCCAUCGAAACUCAAGGCAAUUGUUGCCAGCAAAGCCAGCCAGUUCACUGGUUAUGCUCAGCAUGAUGCCCAGGAGUUCAUGGCUUUCCUGCUGGACGGACUCCAUGAAGAUCUGAACCGGAUUCAGAAUAAGCCAUACACGGAGACCGUGGAUUCGGAUGGAAGGCCAGAUGAGGAAGUUGCCGAUGAAGCGUGGCUGCGCCACAAGAUGAGGAAUGACUCCUUUGUGGUCGAUUUGUUCCAAGGCCAAUACAAGUCAAAGUUGGUUUGUCCAGUCUGUGCUAAGGUUUCCAUUACAUUUGAUCCGUUCCUGUAUUUACCGGUUCCCUUACCACAGAAGCAGAAGGUUCUCACGGUCUAUUAUUUUGCAAGAGAACCACAUAAGAAGCCUGUAAAGUUCUUGGUCAGUAUCAGUAAGGAAAACUCCAGUGCUGCAGACGUCCUUGAGUCCAUUUCUCAGAGUGUCCGAGUGAAAACUGAAAAUCUAAAGCUAGCAGAGGUGGUGAAGAACCGCUUCAACCGCAUCUUUACGCCCUCCUGUUCUGUGGAUUUGGUCUCCCCCUCCGAUCAGCUAUUUUGCUUUGAGAUUUUGUCUCCUGAACUCACUAAGGAACGUGUAGUUGUGCUACAAGUCCAGCAGCGUCCCCAAAUACCAAGCAUCCCAGUUACCAAAUGUUCAGCAUGUCAGAAAAAACAGCUUUCGGAAGAGGAGAAACUGAAGCGCUGUACCCGAUGCUAUCGGGCUGGAUACUGCAACCAGGUUUGCCAGAAAACACACUGGCCUGAGCACAAAUUAUCCUGCCGACCUGAAAAUAUCGGAUAUCCCUUCUUUAUUAGCGUCCCAGAGUCACGGUUGACAUACUCUCGCCUUGCACAGUUGUUGGAGGGUUACGCAAGGUAUUCGGUAAAUGUUUUCCAGCCUCCCUUUGUACCUGGAAGAACUUCCCCAGAGCAGCCCCCACAACCACUAAGCCCAGAGAAGCCAGACUCCCUGUCCCAGCCCAGCGGCACCUUUUUAGAAGAAGCUUUUGAUGAUGUCAGAGACUCUCAUUCUGCACAACCAGCCCUCGGACCUUCUCAAGGUCUCUCACUACAGCCGGAGCUGGGCGACUCCAACGUACAGGGAAAGACCUGUGUGGACCGGCACUCAUUGGUCAGCACAGACUCUGGUUUCUCUGAACAGUCUUCAGACGCCUUAAGGGAGUUUGAUUCUGGGGGCGAGAAAGAGACGUCGGUCGAAAAAUCGGUCAAACCCGAAGCUGCAGUCCCAGGAUACCAGCAGUCUGUGGAGUCCUUAAGUUCCCAUGCUUCCCUGUUUAAUAUCAUCCUGAUUGAUUCCACCAGUAGAGAGGUGAAGCUGGAAGAUAAAGGGGAUACGGUGCUGGACCUGUCGGAUGAAUACUCGCUUGCUCUGGUCUGGAAGAACAAUGAGAGAAUGAAGGAGUUUGUAUUGGUAGAGUCAAAAGAGCUGGAAUUCGAAGAGGACCCGGGGUCUGCGAGCGAAGCAGCUCGAGUCGGCUUGUUCACCCUGGAGCAGUGUCUCAAUCUCUUUACCAAGCCCGAGGUCCUGGCUCCAGAAGAAGCAUGGUACUGCCCCAAGUGUAACCAACACCGAGAAGCUUCCAAGCAGCUGAUGCUGUGGAGGCUGCCGAACAUCCUGAUCAUCCAGCUGAAACGUUUCUCCUUCCGCACAUUUAUCUGGAGAGACAAAAUAAAUGACCUGGUGGACUUCCCUGUCAGGGGGCUUGACCUCACUACAUUCUGCAUCGGUCAGAAGGAAGACCACCAGAGGCCGAUCUAUGACCUGUAUGCAGUGAUAAACCAUUACGGGGGUAUGAUCGGCGGUCACUACACUGCCUAUGCCAGGCUUCCUAAUGAGAAGAACAGUCAGCGGAGUGACGUGGGCUGGAGAUUGUUUGAUGACAGCACAGUGACCACAGUCGACGAGAGCCAAGUGGUGACGAGAUAUGCAUAUGUGCUCUUCUACCGACGGCGUAACUCUCCUGUGGAGAGACCAGUGCGGGGGCAUCCGGCUGAUCACAGGCCUGAAACAGGAGCAUCUGCUGAAGGGGCUGCUAGUCAGGCUUCUCUGAUCUGGCAAGCACUGGAGGCCGAAGAGGAGGAACUCCACCAUGACGCGGACUUACAGCGACGCCACAGAGCCCCCACCACUCACGAUCCCGUCCAGCUCUCGGACUACUCUGACGAAGCCCGUAUCCGUUACUUUGUCCUUGGCACCAUGGCAGCCAUUGUUGCCUUCUUCUUGAAUAUAUUCUAUCCCUUUAUGUACCAGUCCCAGGGGAGGUAGAGGCCUCUGAUACGACUGUCAGACUUGGUUUACCAUGCAGGAUUACCAUGUCCUACGGUUGGCCAAUGAAUGUCACUGUUUAUUUGCAAUACUUCAAUGUACACGCAUAUCGUGGCGGGCCGAUGCGGCAAGGAUCUGUAGCCCAGGGGGGGGGGGUCAGUUCACACGGAUGUUGAGUAAACAAGGACCGCAGGAGAUUUUAUGGAAAAAUAUGCAUCCCGUCCAGUAGAAACAGGAAUAUUAUAUAUUAUAUUGAAAUAACACGGAGAAUGAGUCACAUAUGGCCACCAGGAUAACAUCAAAUAUUUUAAAAAUAAAACACCAACAUACAGCCUGCUGGUAAAAUAUGAUCGUCUUCAAUUUAUGUAGAUUCUUCACAUAUUUCUAUUCCCUCCGCUCCCCAGGAAGGCAGAGGUGUUUUUCGUGGAAUGGUUGACGUGUUUAAUGGUGUGGCCACUAGAGGGAGCUAAGCAUUGCACUGAGUAUUAGCUUUAGCCUGGACAGUGUGAUCGUGGAGGAUCACUGCUUGUAAGAUGCACCUUAAGACUUGCCAAGGUGAGUGGGUCGCUCUACCAUAAAGGGGUUGCCUUGUGGACAUCACGCCUCUCCCUAUGCGCUUUCAGAGCAUAUGGAUAUUAUAAGGGGGGGGGGUCUCACAUUUUGUACCGGGCAGCUCUCGUUUUGAUGGACUCUAACCAUCCAUUUAAUACAUGGGUAUAUAUUCAUAUGAAUGGCCGCUGCAGGGGGAAGUGCUGCAGAGGCCGCUGCAGGGGGAAGUGCCUGGCUAUUAGUAGUUUCCCCAGUAAAAUUAGUCAGGAUCGGCACAUUUUGAGUUGGGUUGUCUCUUAUUAGACAGCUCCUUUAACUAAGCAGAGAAGCCAAAACUUUAACCCCAUUCCUGAUGAUCUGUUUAACCCUGUGGAUAUCAUCAGGCAUUCCUAAAAUGUGGCCAAAUCUGUACGGCUGGUGUCUAUUCCCACAGCAGGAUAUCAUGGGGGGUAGUAGUGAGUUAGGUGCCUUAGGUCAGAUUAUAGCAGUGGUACUAGUGAGUCAAGUUCUAAUGCAGGGUAGUAGUGAGUCAGGUCCCUAAGGUUAGAUUACAAUGGGGGUAGUAGCUCCCUCAGGUCAGGUUAUAAUGGGGGUAGUAGCGAGUCAGGUCCACCACAUCUGGUUAUAAUGGGGGUAGUAGCGAGUCAGGUCCAUCACGUCUGGUUAUAAUGGAGGUAGUAGUGAGUCGGGUCCAUCACGUCUGGUUAUAAUGGAGGUAGUAGCGAGUCAGGUCCAUCACGUCUGAUUAUAAUGGAGGUAGUAGUGAGUCAGGUUCAUCACGUCUGGUUAUAAUGGAGGUAGUGGUGAGUCAGGUUCAUCACGUCUGGUUAUAAUGGGGGUAGUAGUGAGUCAGGUCCAUCACGUCUGGUUAUAAUGGGGGUAGUAGUGAGUCGGGUCCAUCACAUCUGAUUAUAAUGGAGGUAGUAGUGAGUCAGGUUCAUCACGUCUGGUUAUAAUGGAGGUAGUGGUGAGUCAGGUUCAUCACGUCUGGUUAUAAUGGGGGUAGUAGUGAGUCAGGUCCAUCACGU